rnacentral:rRNA from 1 species
ACAGGGAUUGCCCUAGUAACGGCGAGUGAAGCGGCAACAGCUCAAAUUUGAAAUCUGGCGUCUUUGGCGUCCGAGUUGUAAUUUGCAGAGGGCGCUUUGGCAUUGGCAGCGGUCCAAGUUCCUUGGAACAGGACGUCACAGAGGGUGAGAAUCCCGUACGUGGUCGCUAGCCUUUACCGUGUAAAGCCCCUUCGACGAGUCGAGUUGUUUGGGAAUGCAGCUCUAAAUGGGAGGUAAAUUUCUUCUAAAGCUAAAUACUGGCCAGAGACCGAUAGCGCACAAGUAGAGUGAUCGAAAGAUGAAAAGCACUUUGGAAAGAGAGUUAAAAAGCACGUGAAAUUGUUGAAAGGGAAGCGCUUGCAGCCAGACUUGCCUGUAGUUGCUCAUCCGGGUUUUUACCCGGUGCACUCUUCUAUGGGCAGGCCAGCAUCAGUUUGGGCGGUUGGAUAAAGGUCUCUGUCAUGUACCUCCUCUCGGGGAGAACUUAUAGGGGAGACGACAUGCAACCAGCCUGGACUGAGGUCCGCGCAUCUGCUAGGAUGCUGGCGUAAUGGCUGUAAGCGGCCCGUCUUGAAACACGGACCAAGGAGUCUAACAUCUAUGCGAGUGUUUGGGUGUCAAGCCCGAACGCGUAAUGAAAGUGAACGGAGGUGGGAACCUUUCGGGGUGCACCAUCGACCGAUCCUGAUGUCUUCGGAUGGAUUUGAGUAAGAGCAUAGCUGUUGGGACCCGAAAGAUGGUGAACUAUGCUUGAAUAGGGUGAAGCCAGAGGAAACUCUGGUGGAGGCUCGCAGCGGUUCUGACGUGCAAAUCGAUCGUCAAAUUUGGGCAUAGGGGCGAAAGACUAAUCGAACUAUCUAGUAGCUGGU